rnacentral:rRNA from 1 species
GAUGAACGCUGGCGGCGUGCUUAACACAUGCAAGUCGAACGGAAAGGCUCCUGCUUGCAGGGGUACUCGAGUGGCGAACGGGUGAGUAACACGUGGGUGAUCUGCCCUGCACUUCGGGAUAAGCCUGGGAAACUGGGUCUAAUACCGGAUAGGACGAUGGUUUGGAUGCCAUUGUGGAAAGUUUUUUCAGUGUGGGAUGAGCUCGCGGCCUAUCAGCUUGUUGGUGGGGUAAUGGCCUACCAAGGCGUCGACGGGUAGCCGGCCUGAGAGGGUGUACGGCCACAUUGGGACUGAGAUACGGCCCAGACUCCUACGGGAGGCAGCAGUGGGGAAUAUUGCACAAUGGGCGCAAGCCUGAUGCAGCGACGCCGCGUGGGGGAUGACGGCCUUCGGGUUGUAAACUCCUUUCGCUAGGGACGAAGCGCAAGUGACGGUACCUGGAGAAGAAGCACCGGCUAACUACGUG